rnacentral:lncRNA from 1 species
GCCAUCAAGGGAGAUCUGAUAUAUCCUGAGUCAUUGCCACAUUGUAACAAAAAGUCGAAUAUCAUGCAUUACCGCUAAGUAUUCCUAUGCCACCGUGUCCAUUAUUAACUCUUGAAGCGACCGAGCAAUUCGUUUACCCUUCUAUCCUAAAAGUUUCACCAUGUUGCAACUGAUAUGCCACCGUGUUUGUUGUUUCUACAUUUAACCAUAUGUGAUCCUUGAUAGUCAUUUCCUUCUUUGUUUCUUCAUCUAAAAAAUACGUGGAUUUACAAACCUAAACUCCAUAAGAUCAUAAGCUAUACAAUUAGCCAAUAAAGGUCACCCAAUGUGACAAUUAUAUUAUUGCUCGCCUAUUCUGUUGGAGACCUACUCCCUCAUUCCUAUGAUUAAGGCAUAAAUCUUCGCUCACGCCCCCCAAGAAGUAGCAGGGCAUUACUUUGAGGCAACCACGCCAAUCAAAAUAAACAUGUCAUCAUCAACACUCAAUAUAUACCAACCCUAACAGAUUAAAGUAUCCAACAAAAAUGACGCACUAACAGACGCUCUCACCUCAUCCAUACCCACCGCUCACAAAACAUACCAUAUGUAUCCUUCAGGCAGAAGCAAAUAGUAGCAUAAGAAAUUAAGCUCAUCAAAAUAUGAAUAAAAUCCCACUUUGCAUAACCGUGUAGAAGAUGUGAAGCAUGCACAUCUGUAUCUUCUUUGAGAAUCAUGUCCAGCACCUGCCGGUAUGGCAGAAGCAUUGUCCCUGUUAUCCUAAAUUCACCAUCAAAACCAACACCAAAAACAAAAAUCUCUUCAGGAGAAGUCACACAAAAAACCAUAAUCCCAUGACCAGGAACUGAUUGGCAAAAAAUCAAACCUGGAAGUAGCAGCCGCUUUGUCCACGACCCACAGGCAGCAUCGCUCCUCUGAAGAACCAAAAAGAAGAAGAGAAGAUGCAUCUCUACAAACCAUCUACAGAGUUAAGUAAUGCGAGGCCAAAAACAUGUCCCAGCAAUAUAAAAGACGUUAUUCAUGAGUAUGUUAAAUCCGGCCCUCAUCAAGAUACUCAAAUCAUGUCUUCCUAUCUUUCACUUAACAUUGAAACCAUUCUGAACAUAUCUGCUCUAUACUGUAAAUCUUAAUGCACUUCACAAAAUCAAGCAUAUGAGAAUAGUAUGAAUAUCAGAAGGAGAUCAUUUGCAAGUUCAUGUGGUGGCCAAAAACUGGUUCUUUCUGUAAGUAGAGUAUAAUUCUUGUAAAACAGAAAAUCUUCUAGUAUUAAAAAUCCUCGAACAUAGAAAUAUGUUUUGGUGAUAUCUUGACAAUCAUUAUUCUGAAUUGCAGAAACUUAGUAUCCUUGGAAAGUAGUCGAUGAACUCUACAGCUUUCAUGUGGGUGCCACAACCAAAUUAUGAACCCAAUUAUUCCUAGAAUUUAAAAUAAGCUUUUGAUCUACUACUGAAUAUGUGGUCAACGGAGAUCUAUCCUUGCAGCAAAAAGGAAUCAAACAGCCGUGAAUCCAAUGAAAGAAGUCCUCUUUCUUCUCUUCUCUUCUCUUCUCCUUUCCUCCUUGUACAACUCCCAAUCUCCUACAGUCGGGCAUAAACUGUGUUUGCAAAAUGUAAACAUACGGGCAGGGCCACACAAGCCGACUUCCAAUUGAUAUAUACUGAAGCCGACUUCAGGUUCACGAACACGCUGGAUAGAUUUAACUGUAGUACAAAAAAAAGAGACACAAAUGCCAGGCAUAAACUGCGUUUGCAAAAUGUAAACAUACAGGCAGAGCCACACAAGCCGACUUCCAAUUGAUAUAUACUGAAGCCUCAUAAGCUGACUUCCAAUUGAUAUAUACUGAAGCCGACUUCAGGUUCACGAACACGCUGGAUAGGUUUAACUGCGGUACAAAAAAAAAAUGAGACACAAAUGUCAGGCAUAAACUGCGUUCGCAAAAUGUAAACAUACAGGCAGAGCCACACAAGCCGACUUCCAAUUGAUAUAUACUGAAGCCUCAUAAGCUGACUUCCAAUUGAUAUAUACUGAAGCCGACUUCUGGUUCACGAACACACUGGAUAGGUUUAACUCCAGUACAAAAAACUGCAAACCGGAUAAAUGUCGAUAUUUUAAAAGAGCUUGUGUACUGUGCUGGAUAGGUUUAGGUCCAUCAAAAUUUAAAUACUCUCAUAUUGCUCUAGGGUGUAAUUUAUUAGCAUUCUAUUUUGAAAUUUGAUGCAUCUUCAUUGAACCAUCGAUGAAUAUUUUCACCUAACAUCAGGUCUAUUUUGAAAUAGCCAUGAAGAUUUUCAUCACAUGGUCACUCAUGGACCAUCUUUGCCUUCAGAUAUGUGCAGGGCUAUAACAGCAGGUGGGAAGAUGAGCAGCUAACUAUAUAAUGGCUGCUGAAAAACAUGACAGUACCAAAUCGAAAAGUGACACUCUGAUAACUAUAUGAUGCCAGCUGGUAAGAUUGUACAUGAUGCCAGCUGGUAAGAUUGUACAUGAUGCCAGCCAGUAAGAUUGUACAUGACUUCACGGGGCUCGGAGGGCGGAAGCCAUGGCCGAUUGUUCACGUGUUUGCAGAGGAGUUUGUUGUGGUUUUCAUCCGAAGAAGCGACGGGGAGGGAAAAACGGACAUGUAUAUGGCAGUAAGGGUUUUUAUACUGCAACCAUGCCGGCCUGACGAGACGAGCCCCGCGGAGGGCUCGGGAGGCUAGGAGCUCCACGUACUCCUCGAUGCUGCUAGCGAAGUAGGUCGAGCCGGCAGCGUCAAACAGCUGGGUCACCCAAGUCGGUGCUCCAAUCACCGUCGGUGAGCUGCAUUUUCAUACACCUGUCAUCGUCGGCAUGGCCCACAAGCAAGUUUGCUGACAAUAACUGGAUAUUGUGGGAGCAACAUACAUCUAUCCCCUAUAAUUAUUUACCUCUCUUGUAGACUAUCUGAAUCAUUUAUGCGGAAGCUACAAAUGUUCGUGCAGACUAGCGAUCAUCUUCAUGAGUCGACUCCAAAAAGCAUCCUAAAGCUAACAGUUGGGUCGAUCGUAUAAUACCUGAAAUGUCAUUACAAGAAAUUCAGUGAACUUCAACUAAAAGCUCGACGGCAAGACAAUUAGCUAAAGUAAUUCACAUGCAACAUCCAAGGUAAAUCGGUGGCCUCAAAAGUUGGUUUUCCUGUGUUAUAACAAAAUAUGGCAUUGGCACUUAAAUAUCUACAUAAAAGUUCAGAAGUUGCUUUCCACGCUUAUCAUAAGAAUCCUUUAUACAAGACUUCAUAGGCCUUAUCAAACUUAGUUCAAAAGCAAACAAAUGAAGUGUCCAAUUGUUGCUACCUAGUAACCCUUUAAAUCCCACGAAGGAAAUAGGUACAGCCAUGAAAUAUUUCUUUCUUUACUUGAUCAUUUUUAAACAGCUUGGUUUAUAACUGGAAACCAUUGCGUGGGCAGCUGCUUUUCCAUCUCCUAAAGCAUCGACUCUACAAAUAUAACACAUUUUGUCACCGGAAACUCCUGAACCAUAAGGUACAGGGGUGGAGCACACGACGCAAUAGAGCAGAAGAGAAUGAUGUACCUGAAACUUAAAGGCCACAUUAAGGCAUCAUUCAGGGCCGGACACUUUUCCCACAGUAAUGGAACUUGCUGUUCUACUUUCAUAUUCUAACCUUAAAAAAUAUCCUGAAUAUCCAUGUAAAGGUGUUGGCACUUCGGGGAGUCCAUUGUUGCAGAAGUGAAGCACUGCAACUACAGUUUCCCCCCAUCAUCUAAUGUAAUAUAUUUGAUGUCCGUUCGCUGAAUUUCAGGAUGAACGAAAAUGAAUUACUCUAAAUGAUCUUCAAUGUCAAAAAAAAGAGAUAGUUAAGCAUAUGAGGAAUACAUCACUAAAUAAAAGGAGUAAUUGUAGAAUUAAUUGGGAAAAACAAUAGCAACAGAGAGCAUAUUUUGGGUCUGAGAUCAGGAAGCCAGGUAUUUUAAUGGUUCAGUACAGACCAUAUUGUCAAUCAACAAUGCAAAUCAAGCACGAGUAUAUUUAUUUAUUAGAUAAGCACUUCCUUACAGGCCCAAUGUUAUUAGAAGUUAAGUAACUGGACAGGGCAAACAUGAUCCAUUAUACGAAGCUAGCUUUAUGUUAGACGUAAAUGCUCUUCAUUCAACUUGCUAUGAGAAAAAUUCACAACCAUGGAAACGCUCCAUCCUUCAUGUUAGAUUAACCGAGGAUUCCCAUGAAACGCUUAAUUUGCCUACCAAUUAAUCAACACCUUCCUCUGCCAUAUUCCUAAGAUGGUGUAAGCAGGACACAUGCUUCAACUCCACCAAUUCGGCAUGCCCCAUUGUAUGUUUUUUUCUCACCUCACCAGGUCAUCUUAUUUUGUCAAUUGCACCAAGCAAACCAAUUCAGCAGGCCCCAAAAGAAGAGGUCACGAAAAGACAAAAGGGAGUGAGAAAUUUUACCUGCACAGACCAAGAGGCUCACCGGUCACCCUCCAUCCACGCCAGCACAGACCAAAAGGGAGUGAGAACAACCUUUAUUCCUCCUUCAUGCCAUUCAAAGGGAACCAUAUUGAUCAGCAAAGGGCCAAUUAGUAAGCACUGAAACAGAAUAAAUACUCACCAGGCAAUAAAACACGGAAUUAUCAGUUAUGGUGGUGGGUUUUGUAGCUUCACUAAACAGAGCAUUGUGUUGGUAUGCAUCUGACCUUAUCUUUACAAUAGAACAUGUUCUAGAAAAAUAAUGUAAUCUUCAUGCAACU